rnacentral:rRNA from 1 species
AUUGAACGCUGGCGGCAUGCUUUACACAUGCAAGUCGAACGGCAGCGCGGGCUUCGGCCUGGCGGCGAGUGGCGAACGGGUGAGUAAUGCAUCGGAACGUGCCCAGCAGUGGGGGAUAGCCCGGCGAAAGCCGGAUUAAUACCGCAUACGACCUGAGGGUGAAAGCGGGGGACCGAAAGGCCUCGCGCUCUUGGGGCGGCCGAUGUCGGAUUAGCUAGUUGGUGGGGUAAAGGCUUACCAAGGCGACGAUCCGUAGCUGGUCUGAGAGGACGACCAGCCGCACUGGGACUGAGACACGGCCCAGACGCCUACGGGAGGCAGCAGUGGGGAAUGUGGGACAAUGGGGGCAACCCUGAUCCAGCCAUGCCGCGUGCGGGAAGAAGGCGUUCGGGUUGUAAACCGCUUUUGUUCGGGAAGAAAUGCUCUGGGCUAAUACCCCGGGGGGAUGACGGUACCGGAAGAAUAAGCACCGGCUAACUACGUG